CCUACGGGACGCAGCAGUGGGGAAUAUUGCACAAUGGGCGGAAGCCUGAUGCAGCAACGCCGCGUGAGGGAUGACGGCCUUCGGGUUGUAAACCUCUUUUAGCAGGGAAGAAGCGAAAGUGACGGUACCUGCAGAAAAAGCACCGGCUAACUACGUGCCAGCAGCCGCGGUAAUACGUAGGGUGCAAGCGUUAUCCGGAAUUAUUGGGCGUAAAGAGCUCGUAGGCGGUUUGUCGCGUCUGCUGUGAAAUCCCGAGGCUCAACUUCGGGCUUGCAGUGGGUACGGGCAGACUAGAGUGCGGUAGGGGAGAUUGGAAUUCCUGGUGUAGCGGUGGAAUGCGCAGAUAUCAGGAGGAACACCGAUGGCGAAGGCAGAUCUCUGGGCCGUAACUGACGCUGAGGAGCGAAAGGGUGGGGAGCAAACAGGCUUAGAUACCCUGGUAGUCCACCCCGUAAACGUUGGGAACUAGUUGUGGGGUCCUUUCCACGGAUUCCGUGACGCAGCUAACGCAUUAAGUCCCCGCCUGGGAGACGG
rnacentral:rRNA from 1 species